GGCUGAUAGCUCGAUGGUUAGAGCUACCAGUAUAGAACUGGGAGGUUGUUGGUUCAAUCCCAACUCUGGGCA